rnacentral:rRNA from 1 species
GACUGCAGGCUGCAACUCGCCUGCACGAAGUCGGAAUUGCUAGUAAUCGUAGGUCAGCAUACUACGGUGAAUACGUUCCCGGGCCUUGUACACACCGCCCGUCAAACCAUGAGAGUUGGCAACACCCGAAGUCGGUAGUCUAACCGCAAGGAGGACGCCGCCGAAGGUGGGGGUUNAUGAUUAGGGUUAAGUCGUAACAAGGUAAC